AACGCACAUUGCGCCCGCCAGCACUCUGGCGGGCAUGCCUGUCCGAGCGUCAUUUCAACCCUCAGGCCCUCCCCGCGAGGGCCUGGCGUUGGGGACCGGCCCCCCCGUGGCCGCCCCCGAAAUGCAGUGGCGACCUCGCCGCGGCCUCCCCUGCGCAGUAGCACACGCCUCGCACCGGAGCGCGGAGACGGUACAGCCGUGAAAACGCAGCAGCUCAGCACGAGUUGACCUCGGAUCAGGUAGGAAUACCCGCUGAACUUAA
rnacentral:misc_RNA from 1 species